UGGGGAAUUGUUCGCAAUGGGCGCAAGCCUGACGACGCAACGCCGCGUGGAGGAUGAAGGUCUUCGGAUUGUAAACUCCUGUUGCCCGGGACGAAAAGCCUCGACCUAACACGUCGAGGUCUGACGGUACCGGGUGAGGAAGCCCCGGCUAACUCUGUGCCAGCAGCCGCGGUAAUACAGAGGGGGCAAGCGUUGUUCGGAAUUACUGGGCGUAAGGGCGCGUAGGCGGCCUGCUAAGUCGAACGUGAAAUCCCCGGGCUCAACCCGGGAACUGCGUCCGAUACUGGUUGGCUUGAAUCCGGGAGAGGGAUGCGGAAUUCCAGGUGUAGCGGUGAAAUGCGUAGAUAUCUGGAGGAACACCGGUGGCGAAGGCGGCAUCCUGGACCGGCAUUGACGCUGAGGCGCGAAAGCCAGGGGAGCAAACGGG
rnacentral:rRNA from 1 species